GUGGGGAAUCUUGCGCAAUGGGCGAAAGCCUGACGCAGCCAUGCCGCGUGAAUGAUGAAGGUCUUAGGAUUGUAAAAUUCUUUCACCGGGGACGAUAAUGACGGUACCCGGAGAAGAAGCUCCGGCUAACUUCGUGCCAGCAGCCGCGGUAAUACGAAGGGGGCUAGCGUUGUUCGGAAUCACUGGGCGUAAAGCGCACGUAGGCGGACCAUUAAGUCAGGGGUGAAAGCCUGGAGCACAACUCCAGAACUGCCUUUGAUACUGAUGGUCUCGAGUUCGGAAGAGGUUGGUGGAACUGCGAGUGUAGAGGUGAAAUUCGUAGAUAUUCGCAAGAACACCAGUGGCGAAGGCGGCCAACUGGUCCGAUACUGACGCUGAGGUGCGAAAGCGUGGGGAGCAAACAGGAUUAGAAACCCCUGUAGUCC
rnacentral:rRNA from 1 species